AAGCGAAUAGUGAAAUCUGGGGGCUCAACCUCACAGACUAUUAUUCGAACUGCUUGUCUCGAGAAUGGUAGAGGUAACUGGAAUUUCUAGUGUAGGAGUGAAAUCCGUAGAUAUUAGAAGGAACACCAAUGGCGUAGGCAGGUUACUGGACCAUUUCUGACACUGAGGCACGAAAGCGUGGGGAGCGAACCGGAUUAGAUACCCGGGUAGUCCACGCCGUAAACGAUGGAUACUA
rnacentral:rRNA from 1 species